rnacentral:rRNA from 1 species
UACGUAGGGGGCAAGCGUUAUCCGGAAUUACUGGGUGUAAAGGGAGCGUAGACGGUGAAGUAAGUCUGGAGUGAAAGGCGGGGGCCCAACCCCCGGACUGCUCUGGAAACUAUUUGACUGGAGUGCAGGAGAGGUAAGCGGAAUUCCUGGUGUAGCGGUGAAAUGCGUAGAUAUCAGGAGGAACAUCGGUGGCGAAGGCGGCUUACUGGACUGUAACUGACGUUGAGGCUCGAAAGCGUG